rnacentral:rRNA from 1 species
UUGGAGGGCAAGUCUGGUGCCAGCAGCCGCGGUAAUUCCAGCUCCAAUAGCGUAUAUUAAAGUUGUUGCAGUUAAAAAGCUCGUAGUUGAAUUUCGGGGUUCUUCCGUUGGUCAGGCUAACAAGUCUGUACUAGCGUGUAGAAUCUCUACCUUCUGGGGAACCAUCAUAUUAUUAAUUUAGCGUGGUGGGAAACCAGGACCUUUACCUUGAAAAAAUUAGAGUGUUCAAAGCAGGCUUACGUCUGAAUACAUUAGCAUGGAAUAAUAAAAUAGGACGGUGGUCCUGUUUUGUUGGUUUCUGAAUCACCGUAAUGAUUAAUAGGGAUAGUUGGGGGCAUUAGUAUUCAAUUGUCAGAGGUGAAAUUCUUGGAUUUAUUGAAGACUAACUUCUGCGAAAGCAUUUGCCAAGGAUGUUUUCAUUAAUCAAGAACGAAAGUUAGGGGGUCGAAGACGAUCAGAUACCGUCGUAGUCUUAACCAUAAACCAUGCCGACUAGGGAUCGGACGAUGUUAAAUUUUAUUGACUCGUUCGGCGCCUUACGGGAAAC